GCUUUCGUGGUGCAGUGGUCAGCACACUCGACGCGUAAUCUAGAGGUCCAUGGUUCGAUUCCCGGCGAAAGCG
rfam:Stegodyphus mimosarum contig125940, whole genome shotgun sequence.